rnacentral:lncRNA from 1 species
CGGAGCAGACGCGAGGCCCGGCGCUCGCGCCGCGCCCGGGAGCCCGGGAGGGAGACCGGCAGCGGCGGCAUGAGGCAGGCGACGCGGCGCUGGUGAGCAGCGCGCGCGGCGGCGGCGGCGGCGGCGGCGGGGACCUUGGCGCGGCCGGACGCGGGCGAGCGCCGAACGGCCGGGGGCUCCCCUCCCCCGCUGCCGGGCCGUGAUUUGCCGGGCCUGCUGCGCCCCCCGCCCACCCCUUGCCUCAGCCGCCGCCUCGCCGCUUCCCCUCGUCGGAGCGGCCGCUCGUCCGCCCGGCUUGAGGCCCGCGGGGAGCGCGGCGCAAUUCGUCGGCCCGCGGGGGGGCGGCCUCCCGGCAUCUUCGCGGCGACCAAGGACUACCAGGAAGGGGAGCGGCUGGGAUGGCGCGUCCGCGGCCCCGCGAGUACAAAGCGGGCGACCUGGUCUUCGCCAAGAUGAAGGGCUACCCGCACUGGCCGGCCCGGAUUGAUGAACUCCCAGAGGGCGCUGUGAAGCCUCCAGCAAACAAGUAUCCUAUCUUCUUUUUUGGCACCCAUGAAACUGCAUUUCUAGGUCCCAAAGACCUUUUUCCAUAUAAGGAGUACAAAGACAAGUUUGGAAAGUCAAACAAACGGAAAGGAUUUAACGAAGGAUUGUGGGAAAUAGAAAAUAACCCAGGAGUAAAGUUUACUGGCUACCAGGCAAUUCAGCAACAGAGCUCUUCAGAAACUGAGGGAGAAGGUGGAAAUACUGCAGAUGCAAGCAGUGAGGAAGAAGGUGAUAGAGUAGAAGAAGAUGGAAAAGGC